GGCGAACGGGUGAGUAACACGUGGGCAAUCUGCCCUUCACUCUGGGACAAGCCCUGGAAACGGGGUCUAAUACCGGAUAAUACUUUCUCCCUCCUGGGAGAAGGUUGAAAGCUCCGGCGGUGAAGGAUGAGCCCGCGGCCUAUCAGCUAGUUGGUGGGGUAAUGGCCUACCAAGGCGACGACGGGUAGCCGGCCUGAGAGGGCGACCGGCCACACUGGGACUGAGACACGGCCCAGACUCCUACGGGAGGCAGCAGUGGGGAAUAUUGCACAAUGGGCGAAAGCCUGAUGCAGCGACGCCGCGUGAGGGAUGACGGCCUUCGGGUUGUAAACCUCUUUCAGCAGGGAAGAAGCGAAAGUGACGGUACCUGCAGAAGAAGCGCCGGCUAACUACGUGCCAGCAGCCGCGGUAAUACGUAGGGCGCAAGCGUUGUCCGGAAUUAUUGGGCGUAAAGAGCUCGUAGGCGGCUUGUCACGUCGGUUGUGAAAGCCCGGGGCUUAACCCCGGGUCUGCAGUCGAUACGGGCAGGCUAGAGUGUGGUAGGGGAGAUCGGAAUUCCUGGUGUAGCGGUGAAAUGCGCAGAUAUCAGGAGGAACACCGGUGGCGAAGGCGGAUCUCUGGGCCAUUACUGACGCUGAGGAGCGAAAGCGUGGGGAGCGAACAGGAUUAGAUACCCUGGUAGUCCACGCCGUAAACGUUGGGAACUAGGUG
rnacentral:rRNA from 1 species